GCAGGGGUAGUCAAGUCGUCAACGACGCCAGGUUCAGGCCCUGGUUCCGUAGGGAUGCGAAAGGCGCGCGUGCGCCUUCGUCCGAAGCGCGGGUUCAAUUCCCGUCCCCUGCACCA
rnacentral:tRNA from 1 species